GAUGAAGAACGUAGCGAAAUGCGAUAAGUAAUGUGAAUUGCAGAAUUCAGUGAAUCAUCGAAUCUUUGAACGCACCUUGCGCCCUUUGGCCAUUCCGAAGGGCAUGCCUGUUUGAGUAUCAUGAACACCUCAACUCUUCAUGGUUUUCCGUGAUGAGCUUGGACGUUGGGGGUCUUGCUGGCCUAUGGUCAGCUCCUCUAAAAUAAAUCAGCUUGCCAGUGUUUGGUGGGUAUCACAGGUGUGAUAACUAUCUACGCUUGUGGUUUUCCACCAGGUAACCUGCAGCAGUGGAGGUUCGCUGGAGCUCACAGAUGUGUCGCUCCUCAGUGAGGACAGCUCUUUGAAUGUUUGAUCUCAAAUCAGGUAGGACUACCCGCUGAACUUAAGCAUAUCAAUAAGCGGAGGA
rnacentral:misc_RNA from 1 species